rnacentral:lncRNA from 1 species
AGGGCCGGCUCAACACUGCUAGAGGCCCUAGGGCAAAAAAAAAAAAUUUUACUCUCUAAAAUUUAUAUAGAAAUAAUGUUUAAAAUAUUUUUAAAAUUUAAUCAAUAAUAUUUUGUAUAUUUUGUAAUGAAAAUAAAACUAUAUACAUAUCAAAUAAUUUUGGGCCCUUUUCAAUUUUAUUUAUUGUAUUUAUAAUUUUUUU